rnacentral:rRNA from 1 species
GACGAACGCUGGCGGCGUGCUUAACACAUGCAAGUCGAGCGGAAAGGCCCUUCGGGGUACUCGACCGGCGAACGGGGGAGUAACAAGUGAGUAACCAGCCCUCCAUUUUGGGAUAAUCACCGGAAACAGGGGGUAAUACCGGAUACUCCGUCUUAAUCGCGUGAGUUGGGGGGGAAAGUUUUUCGGUCGGGGAUGGACUCGCGGCCUAUCAGCUUGUUGGUGGGGGAGUGGCGGACCACGGCGAGGACGGGUAGCCGGCCUGAGAGGGCGACCGGCCACACUGGGACUGAGACACGGCCCAGACUCCUACGGGAGGCAGCAGUGGGGAAUAUUGCACAAUGGGCGGAAGCCUGAUGCAGCGACGCCGCGUGCGGGAUGACGGCCUUCGGGUUGUAAACCUCUUUCAGCAGGGACGAAGCGUAAGUGACGGUACCUGCAGAAGAAGCACCGGCCAACUACGUG